rnacentral:rRNA from 1 species
AAAAUAAUGCUGGGGUACGAUGCGGAGCGAAAUUUAGUAGCGAAGUAGCUGAUUUCACACUGUCGAGAAAAGUCUCUAUCGAGGUUAAAGGUGCCUGUACCGCAAACCGACACAGGUGGGUGAGGAGAGUAUCCUAAGGCCAGCGAGAGAACUGUUGUUAAGGAACACGGCAAAAUGACCCCGUAACUUCGGGAGAAGGGGUGCCUUCGAAAGAAGGCCGCAGAGAAUAGGCCCAAGCGACUGUUUACCAAAAACAUAGGUUUCUGCUAAGUCGCAAGACGAUGUAUAGGAGCUGACGCCUGCCCGGUGCUGGAAGGUUAAGGGGAUCUGUUAGAGCAAUCGAAGCAGUGAACUUAAGCCCCAGUAAACGGCGGCCGUAACAAUAACGGUCCUAAGGUAGCGAAAUUCCUUGUCGGGUAAGUUCCGACCCGCACGAAAGGCGUAACGAUUUGGGCACUGUCUCAACAACAGACUCGGUGAAAUUGUAAUACCGGUGAAGAUGCCGGUUACCUGCGACAGGACGGAAAGACCCCAUGGAGCUUUACUGUAGCUUGACAUUGAGUCUCGGUGCUACAUGUACAGGAUAGGUGGGAGACUAUGAAGCAUGGACGUCAGUCUGUGUGGAGUCAUCCUUGGGAUACCACCCUUGUAGUACUGGGAUUCUAACCAGAGGCCAUGAAUCUGGUCUUGGGACACUGUCAGGUGGACAGUUUGACUGGGGCGGUCGCCUCCCAAAAAGUAACGGAGGCGCUCAAAGGUUCUCUCAGUACGGUCGGAAAUCGUACGAAGAGUGUAAAGGCAAAAGAGAGCUUGAUUGCAAGACAUACAGGUCGAGCAAGGACGAAAGUCGGACUUAGUGAUCCGGUGGUUCCGCAUGGAAGGGCCAUCGCUCAACGGAUAAAAGCUACCCUGGGGAUAACAGGCUGAUCUCCCCCAAGAGUCCACAUCGACGGGGAGGUUUGGCACCUCGAUGUCGGCUCAUCACAUCCUGGGGCUGUAGUAGGUCCCAAGGUUGGGCUGUUCGCCCAUUAAAGUGGUACGCGAGCUGGGUUCAGAACGUCGUGAGACAGUUCGGUCCCUAUCCGUCGCAGGCGUAGGAAAUUUGAGGAGACCUGUCCUUAGUACGAGAGGACCGGGAUGGACGUACCGCUGGUGUACCAGUUGUUCUGCCAAGGGCAUGGCUGGGUAGCUAAGUACGGAAAGGAUAAGCGCUGAAAGCAUCUAAGCGCGAAGCCCACUUCAAGAUAAGAUUUCCCACCGCAAGGUUAAGAUCCCAGGAAGACUACCUGGUUGAUAGGUCAGAGGUGUAAGUGCAGUAAUGUAUUUAGCUUACUGAUACUAAUAGAUCGAGGACCUGACUA